rnacentral:misc_RNA from 1 species
AAAGUCGUAACAAGGUAACCGUAGGUGAACCUGCGGUUGGAUCAUUACCAAUAUGUGAUAUACAACUUGUUGUUAGCCCUUUUCCAAUUUUUAUUUGGUAGUUUUCUGGUAUUAUAUCUUUUGCUAACUUAUAAGAUAUUUUAUCAGUACGGGUUUUAUUACCCAGGCUACCAAAAGUGAACAAACCUAUAUUACUUUUUCAAGGCUAAAGAUUUUUAUUGAAAAAAAAAAAAUUGUAUAAACAACUUUUGACAACGGAUCUCUUGGCUCUC